UACAGAGGGGGCAAGCGUUGUUCGGAAUUACUGGGCGUAAAGGGCGCGUAGGCGGCCUGCUAAGUCGAACGUGAAAUCCCUGGGCUCAACCCAGGAACUGCGUCCGAUACUGGCAGGCUUGAAUCCGGGAGAGGGAUGUGGAAUUCCAGGUGUAGCGGUGAAAUGCGUAGAUAUCUGGAGGAACACCGGUGGCGAAGGCGGCAUCCUGGACCGGUAUUGACGCUGAUGCGCGAAAGCUAGGGGAGCAAACGGG
rnacentral:rRNA from 1 species